rnacentral:rRNA from 1 species
AGAGUGUGAUCCUGAGUCAGAUAGAACGCUGGCGGAAUGUUUUACACAUGCAUGUUGAACGGCAGCACGGGGAGCAUCCGUGGUGUCGAGUGGCGAACAGGUGAGUAAUACAUUGGAACGUGUCCAGUCGUGGGGGAUAAUGUAUCGAAAGUUACGCUAAUACCGCAUACGAUCUAUGGAUGAAAGCGGUGGGCGGUAAGGCCUCGUGUGAGUGGAGCGGUCGAUGUUAGAUUAGGUAGUUGAUGUGGUAAAGGUCCACCAAGCCGACGAUCUGUAGAUGGUCUGAGAGGACGGCCAUCCACACUGGGACUGAGACACGGUCCAGACUCCUACGGGAGGCAGCAGUGGGGAAUUUUGGACAAUGGGCGCAAGCCUGAUCCAUCCAUUCCGCGUGCAGGACGAAGGCCUUCGGGUUGUAAACUGCUUUUGUACGGAACGAAAAGGUCCUGGUUAAUACCCGGGGCUCAAGACGGUACUGUAAGAAUAAGCACCGGCUAACUAUGUGACAGCAGAUGCGGUAAUA